CGGGGGGGGCAAGCGUUGUUCGGAAUUACUGGGCGUAAAGGGCGCGUAGGCGGCCUGCUAAGUCGGACGUGAAAUCCCUCGGCUCAACCGGGGAACUGCGUCCGAUACUGGUGGGCUCGAAUCCGGGAGAGGGAUGUGGAAUUCCAGGUGUAGCGGUGAAAUGCGUAGAUAUCUGGAGGAACACCGGUGGCGAAGGCGGCAUCCUGGACCGGUAUUGACGCUGAUGCGCGAAAGCCAGGGGAGCAAACGGG
rnacentral:rRNA from 1 species